GUGGACCUGGACAAACACCAUUAACUAUAUAGUAAACAUCUUUUGGGUUCAACCUAUGAUUUCAGACUUUAAGAUUCAAGUUUACAGUCAACUGACACAAAGAUGCCAUUAUCUUACCUGGCUCUAAGCCUGAUUCCAAUAUACAUUUUUCAAGUUAACAUUUCUUGAACUUCAAUCUUUUGAAAUCUAAUGAUGAAAACCACUUCUCC
rnacentral:lncRNA from 1 species